AGACCCGAAACCCGGUGAUCUAGCCAUGGGCAGGUUGAAGGUUGGGUAACACUAACUGGAGGACCGAACCGACUAAUGUUGAAAAAUUAGCGGAUGACCUGUGGCUGGGGGUGAAAGGCCAAUCAAACCGGGAGAUAGCUGGUUCUCCCCGAAAGCUAUUUAGGUAGCGCCUCGUGAAUUCAUCUCCGGGGGUAGAGCACUGUUUCGGCUAGGGGGCCAUCCCGGCUUACCAACCCGAUGCAAACUGCGAAUACCGGAGAAUGUUAUCACGGGAGACACACGGCGGGUGCUAACGUCCGUCGUGAAGAGGGAAACAACCCAGACCGCCAGCUAAGGUCCCAAAGUCAUGGUUAAGUGGGAAACGAUGUGGGAAGGCCCAGACAGCCAGGAUGUUGGCUUAGAAGCAGCCAUCAUUUAAAGAAAGCGUAAUAGCUCACUGGUCGAGUCGGCCUGCGCGGAAGAUGUAACGGGGCUAAACCAUGCACCGAAGCUGCGGCAGCGACGCUUAUGCGUUGUUGGGUAGGGGAGCGUUCUGUAAGCCUGUGAAGGUGGCCUGUGAGGGUUGCUGGAGGUAUCAGAAGUGCGAAUGCUGACAUAAGUAACGAUAAAGCGGGUGAAAAGCCCGCUCGCCGGAAGACCAAGGGUUCCUGUCCAACGUUAAUCGGGGCAGGGUGAGUCGACCCCUAAGGCGAGGCCGAAAGGCGUAGUCGAUGGGAAACGGGUUAAUAUUCCCGUACUUGGUGUUACUGCGAAGGGGGGACGGAGAAGGCUAUGUUGGCCGGGCGACGGUUGUCCCGGUUUAAGCGUGUAGGCUGGUUUUCCAGGCAAAUCCGGAAAAUCAAGGCUGAGGCGUGACGACGAGGCACUACGGUGCUGAAGCAACAAAUGCCCUGCUUCCAGGAAAAGCCUCUAAGCAUCAGGUAACAUCAAAUCGUACCCCAAACCGACACAGGUGGUCAGGUAGAGAAUACCAAGGCGCUUGAGAGAACUCGGGUGAAGGAACUAGGCAAAAUGGUGCCGUAACUUCGGGAGAAGGCACGCUGACACGUAGGUGAAGUGAUUUACUCAUGGAGCUGAAGUCAGUCGAAGAUACCAGCUGGCUGCAACUGUUUAUUAAAAACACAGCACUGUGCAAACACGAAAGUGGACGUAUACGGUGUGACGCCUGCCCGGUGCCGGAAGGUUAAUUGAUGGGGUCAGCGCAAGCGAAGCUCCUGAUCGAAGCCCCGGUAAACGGCGGCCGUAACUAUAACGGUCCUAAGGUAGCGAAAUUCCUUGUCGGGUAAGUUCCGACCUGCACGAAUGGCGUAAUGAUGGCCAGGCUGUCUCCACCCGAGACUCAGUGAAAUUGAACUCGCUGUGAAGAUGCAGUGUACCCGCGGCAAGACGGAAAGACCCCGUGAACCUUUACUAUAGCUUGACACUGAACAUUGAGCCUUGAUGUGUAGGAUAGGUGGGAG
rnacentral:rRNA from 1 species